UAAACACAACAGUGAAUUUCAAGGCCAGUUACUUAACCUCUUAGAGCCCGUUUUUCCAUCUAUAAAAUGGGGCUAUUAAUCCCUCAGGACAGAAUGAGGGUACAGUGUUUUUAAAUGAAGCCUGAUAGUCUUUGUAAGUGUGUGUGUGUACGCUUUACCAUAUGCAUUUCUCUCAGCUGCCUCCCUCUCCGCAUACACACACAUCCUAUUUAGAGUGCUGGGGAAGUGGAAGUGUAGCGUGGGCCCUGCUGUCUAGCGAUCUGGAGUCACACACAGCAGCCCAGACUACAAGACUGUAUAUGAUGAAGUGCCAAACUAGCUUUGGGGGAUAUUCAGGAAAGAGGGGUGACAUGUCUUUCCCAGGGUCCCUUCAGUUCAAUAAUGACAAGAGCCACUUGAAUCUUGUUCACCUUCUCUCAAGCCAGUGUUCAUCUGCCUGUUCCCUGACCCCCUGCCUCUCCAGAGCUCAGACACCCAGGUACCUGCAAGGGUCAGUUACCUAUGUCCCUGUGGCCUUCAUCAUUUAAGUCCUGCUCUUGGGCCCAUUGCAAUACUGGCAUAAAUGAUGGAGGGAGGAGCAGGCCAGGUCAUGGCUAGAGCUCCGGUUUGAUUCAAACCCUAGAGGGGUCUUAAACAGGCCCUGAGGCAGAGGCAUGGCCUGAGUUGCAGGGAAACCGCAGCACCAAGUGUUGCAUGGGAGGACCAUCAUGGUUGAGUCUGAGGAGUUGGGGAGUUGAUUCUGAGGGGGGCUUCCUAGAUCGCUGCAGGGUGAGGUGGUUGAGCCUAGGAGGGACAGAAUGUCUAAUUGCCUAUGAGGAGAGUUCACUGGAAGAUCUGGAGUAAGAAUGAUGUUCACCAUGAGCUGGAAGGGAAGGAAGGCAGUUAUCCGAGUGACCCAGUCCCUGAGGAGGUGAACCCCGUUACUAAAAGGUUUGGUUGAAUGGACAGGUACAAACGGUUGUGGCUUAUUCAGAAAAACAGCAUUUUCUGUGUGAAUUUCUUGCCAAGCUGUUACUUCAUCCUUCCAAGCCCAACUCCUUUCACCCACUCACAGUCAAGCUGAAGGACCAGGCAGCCGGAGGCUGUGAAGCUGGGAAUCCAGACCCAGUUCUAUGUUCAGAGCUGCCCCCAAGGCUUGGCCUCCACCUACCCUGGCCCUCAGCACCCUGGGCAGAGAGCCCAAGAGCAUAGCAGGAACGCAAGAAGUGAGGUCCAUAUUAGAAGACUGGUCAGAGGGCCCUCGGAAAGUUAAGCCCCCAGAGAACAGGUUUGCAAGUCCCCAGCAGUAGGCAAGUCAGAGGGGUCCUGGGGUUAGAGGGGAGGCAAGGUGGGCCAGAAGCCCAUGGAGAGAGCGCAGGGGUGGUGAGGCCACCACCAGGGGGCGAUACUGGUGCUGCUGCCCUUGAGGGUGGAGGACGCCAGAUGCCCGGAGGCCGUAUGAGCCUUGGCCUCAAACCUUUAUCGUGUAGGGUGGGGGGCGCGAAAGAAGAGAGCGGCGCCCUUCCCUGCACCCCACCCUGUCGGCCCCGCCUCCCUGGCCCCGCCUUCCAGCCCCCGCCCCACCCCCGGCUCCGCCUCCACCCCCCGCCCCGCCUCCGGCCGCAGCCCCUUCCUCCCGCAGCUGGUGCUGUGGGGCCGCGGAGCAGCGCGUCGCCGUCUCUAUGGCCGGGGAUCCAAGCGCAAAGAAAACGGACCUCAGAGAACCAGAACUAGUCCUGCUGUCGGGGCAGGGUGACCCCAUCAGUGACCUACGACCCCCUUAUGACCCCACAACUCCUUCCCACCAUGGAGUUUGUAUUUAAUGCAGAAAAGCAGUGUGUGAUCCAUCCCUCCCUCUGACCUCUAACCUGGGAUUCCAUGGCCACACAACCCUGUGAUUCCAUGUCCCCUCGAUUCCAGGACCCUCCCUGGCCCCAUGACCCCUGACCUUCCAAGUGACCUCCCUGGACCUUGACCCCUGUGACUAUUCUUGCCAUCAUACCCUGUGACUGUGGCCCUGGCUCCCCUUGGGGGUCUUACUGGUCUGGGCCUCCCCAGAAAAAUGUGGGGAAGGCUCUGGCCCCUCUUCCUGAGCUUCCUCACAGCAUCUGCAGUCCCUGGACCCUCACUGCGGAGACCAUCCAGAGAACUAGAUGCCAUCCCACGGAUGACCAUCCCCUAUGAAGAGCUCUCCAGGACCCGGCACUUCAAGGGCCAAGCCCAGAACUACUCAACGCUGCUGCUGGAGGAGUCUUCAGCAAGACUGCUGGUUGGAGCCCGAGGUGCCCUCUUCUCUCUCAAUGCCCGUGACAUAGGAGAUGGGGCUCACAAAGAGAUCCACUGGGAGGCCUCCCCAGAGAUGCAAAGCAAAUGCCAUCAAAAAGGGAAAAACAACCAGACGGAGUGCUUCAACCACGUGCGAUUCCUUCAGCGACUCAAUGCCACCCACUUCUAUGCAUGCGGGACUCACGCCUUCCAGCCUCUCUGUGCAGCCAUUGAUGCUGAGGCCUUCACCUUGCCAACAAGCUUUGAGGAGGGGAAGGAGAAGUGUCCUUAUGACCCAGCCCGUGGCUUCACAGGCCUCAUCAUCGAUGGAGGCCUCUACACAGCCACACGGUAUGAAUUCCGGAGCAUCCCUGACAUCCGCCGAAGCCGCCACCCGCACUCCUUGAGGACUGAGGAGGCUCCGAUGCACUGGCUCAAUGAUGCUGAGUUUGUGUUCUCCGUCCUGGUACGGGAGAGUGAGGCCAGUACGGUGGGCGAUGACGACAAGGUUUACUACUUCUUCACGGAGCGGGCCACUGACGAGGGCCCCAGCAGCUUCACUCAGAGCCGCAACAGCCACCGUGUGGCCCGUGUGGCCCGUGUGUGCAAGGGAGACCUAGGAGGAAAGAAGAUCUUGCAGAAGAAGUGGACCUCCUUCUUAAAGGCGCGUCUAGUCUGCCACAUUCCACAGUAUGAGAUGCUACGUGGUGUCUGCAGCCUGGACACGGACACCUCAGCACGCACACACUUCUAUGCGGCCUUCACGCUGACCACACAGUGGAAGACCCUAGAGGCCUCAGCCAUCUGCCGCUACGACCUGGCCGAGGUGCAGGCUGUCUUCGCAGGUCCCUACAUGGAAUACCAGGACGGUGCCCGGCGCUGGGGCCGCUAUGAGGGUGGGGUGCCGGAGCCCCGGCCCGGCUCAUGCAUCACAGAUUCAUUGCGCACUCGCGGCUACAACUCAUCCCAGGAUUUGCCAUCCCUCGUCUUGGACUUCGUGAAGUUGCACCCACUAAUGGCUCGGCCCGUGGUGCCCACACGAGGACGGCCCCUGCUGCUCAAGCGCAGUGUGCGCUAUACACACCUCACAGGGACGCCUGUCACCACGCCUGCCGGACCCACCUAUGACCUGCUCUUUCUGGGCACAGCUGAUGGCUGGAUCCACAAGGCCGUGGUGCUGGGUUCUGGGAUGCACAUUAUCGAAGAGACACAAGUGUUCAAGGAGCCCCAGUCUGUGGAAAAUCUGGUCAUCUCUCCAAUGCAGCACAGCCUUUACGUGGGGGCCCCUAGUGGUGUCAUCCAGCUACCACUGUCGAGCUGCUCCCGCUACCGCUCCUGCUAUGACUGCAUCCUGGCCCGGGACCCCUACUGUGGCUGGGACCCCAGCACCCAUUCCUGCAUCAUAACCAACAGGUCCCAGGGUAGCAGGACAGCACUGAUACAGGACAUAGAGAGAGGAAACCGAGGCUGUGAAGGCAACAAGGACACAGGGCCACCACCACCACUGAGAACCCGCUCUGUCCUCCGAGGUGACGAUGUUCUCCUGCCCUGUGACCAGCCAUCCAACCUGGCCCGGGCCUUGUGGCUGCUCAAUGGGAGCAUGGGCCUGAAUGACGGACAGCAUGGCUACCGCGUGGGCGUGGAUGGGCUGCUGGUGACAAACAUACAGCCUGAGCACAGUGGCAACUAUGGCUGCUAUGCUGAGGAGAAUGGCCUCCGCACCCUGCUGGCCUCCUACAGCCUCACAGUCCGGCCAGCCACUCCUGCCCCAGCUCCACAAGCCCCUGCCGUGCCCGGGGCACAGCUGGCACCUGACGUGAGGCUACUGUAUGUGCUAGCCAUCGCUGCGCUUGGCGGCCUCUGCCUCAUCCUGGCUUCCUCCCUCCUCUAUGUGGCCUGUCUUCAGGGAGGCAGACGAGGGCGUCGAAGGAAAUACUCUCUGGGUCGGGCUGGCCGGGCAGGGGGCUCUGCUGUGCAGCUGCAGACAGUUUCAGGCCAAUGUCCUGGAGAGGAAGACGAGGGUGAUGAUGGGGAGGGGGCUGGGGGCCUGGAAGGUGGCUGCCUCCAGAUCAUCCCUGGGGAGGGAGCCCCAGCCCCACCGCCUCCGCCGCCCCCACCGCCACCGGCCGAGCUGACCAACGGGCUGGUGGCCCUACCCAGCCGGCUGCGCAGGAUGAACGGCAACAGCUACGUGCUCCUGAGGCAGAGCAACAACGGAGUGCCAGCAGGGCCCUGCUCAUUUGCUGAGGAGCUCAGCCGCAUCCUGGAGAAGAGGAAACACACACAGCUUGUAGAGCACCUGGACGAGAGCUCUGUCUGAGCCCAGCCUCCUAGGACAAAUGCUCUUCCAAGCCAGCCUGUCUGCCCCAGGCUGGGCUGCUGCUUCCCCAACACAGCCACUCUACCUUCACCUCCCUCCCCCCAACUCCAGGCCCUUCUCCCAACUUUGUGAUGUCCCUGUAGGGCUGGCAGAGUCAGGCCCAGCCAAAGUCCCCUCCUCAGUCUCCACAGACCCAUCUGUGAGCAGCCCAGGCCCACCGGUGCUCCUCAGAGGCAGGGCUCUGCAGGUCCAGAUGACCUCAAGGUCACCACCCUCUGCGUGGCCCUAUGUGCUGGAUGGUCCCGAAACCAGACAAGACCUCUGCCAGCCACCAGAGCCACCUGAGCCCUGCAUGCAUUCACGUGUGCACACGGAUGAAUGUCUAUCAGCUGGGCUGCAGGGCCCCCACCCCCAUCUCCUGGAACACUGUGUUUCAUCUCUCCUGGACUUUGGGUACCCUUCCAACGGCCAUAUCCCAUCCUAUCUAGGUUUCUCCCCUAGUCCCAGCCCCAUGUGGUGACCUCUUUGGCAAAAGCUUGGGGACAGGCCAGUCUGGGGAGGUAAGACUGUCAUUCCCCUCUUCUUCCUUAACGUGCAGCCCUCUUUGGUCAACCUCCUCACCCCCUUGGUCACUCUCAAGAGUGACAGACAGAGCCCCAGGCAUGUCCCUUCACACACACGUGCUUACAUUUCCACUUGCAUUUCUGAGCCUCCCUUUGCUGCCUCGGACCUGUAUCUGUUGGGUUUGGUCCAUGGACAUUUCAGAGGGAGAGCCCUCUCCCAUUCAGCUGUCCUCUCAGACAUUUCCCUAGGACGGGUGACCAACACUGCAAUGAGCCAGCCUCCCUUUUGGGGACCAAGCAUUUGCUACCCCCAGACCAGAGCAGGGGGAGGAGAUCUGAUGUCUCACCUGGCACAUGAAGCCCGUUCUUGGAACUAUGCAAAGGGCAGAGGCUGGGAGUUUGGAUGCUUGGCUCCCAUCCCUGUCCUACCUCACCGGGGCACUUUCAGGGUCCAGGGGCCUCUGAAGUCUCCAGGCCCAUAUGGGACAAUCAAAUCCUGACUGAGCUCCCCCAUUCCCCUUGGGUGAGGAUGACUGUUAUUUUUGUAGCUGAGAACGUGGAAUCCCACGGGUUUUUACUGCCCUUCACCCAACUUCUCCCACCUCCACCCCACAAUGAAUGUAUUUAUUGUGAGAACGGCUACACUUCUUUAGGAAUGCCCCCACUCACCACCAAGGUGGGCAGAACAGGCAUGUGACAGAGUGGGGAGCCUGGGCUCAGCUCCUCCCCCUCCUGUUGGUUAAUAAAUACCCUCUUUCCCCACA